GACGAACGCUGGCGGCGUGCUUAACACAUGCAAGUCGAGCGGUAAGGCCCUUUCGGGGGUACGACGAGCGGCGAACGGGUGAGUAACACGUGGGUGACCUGCCCUCAGCUCUGGGAUAAGCCCGGGAAACUGGGUCUAAUACCGGAUAUGACUCCAUGACGCAUGUUGUGGGGUGGAAAGCCUUGUGCGGCUGAGGAUGGGCCCGCGGCCUAUCAGCUUGUUGGUGGGGUGANGGCCUACCAAGGCGACGAC
rnacentral:rRNA from 1 species